rnacentral:rRNA from 1 species
UACGGAGGGUGCAAGCAUUAAUCGGAUUUACUGGGUGUAAAGGGCGCGUAGGCGGGUAGUUAAGUCAGAUGUGAAAUUCCGAAGCUCAACUUCGGAGCUGCAUUUGAAACUGACUAUCUUGAGGUUGGACGGAGAAAACGGAAUUCCACGUGUAGCGGUGAAAUGCGUAGAUAUGUGGAAGAACACCGGUGGCGAAAGCGGUUUUCUAGUUUAAUCCUGACGCUGAGGCGCGAAGGCAAGGGUAGCAAACAGG